AACCCUAGUGCCUCUUGCAUGCUCGGCAAGCACUCUACCUCUGAGCCACAACCCCAGCCUUUUCCCUGUCAUCUUUACCAUUUUUAUUUUUGAUGGCUGAGAGGUCCAGAUUAUUUUUCUAAUUUUUUUCAUUCUCCUUUCUAAAUAUUUUGGAUCAAGUCAUCUCGCUGUUCUAGGAAAUUAUAAUUGAGACAAAUGAUCAGGCGAUCUCUGUAUCACCUUCAAAGUGAUUCAUCAUAAGUCCAAAGAGGAUGCUCAGUUUGAACAGCAGAAGGGCCCACAAGAUUACCUCAAGGCCUGAGUUUGAAUCCCUCUCUAUAUUUAUCAGGGUCAUCAGCAAAUCUUCCUAAAUCCUGUUGGGCCUGUUUUAGAUCUUGCAUAGAAAAAGGUAGAGGUCAGAGGAGGGUCCCUUUGCCUUGGAGCUGGAAGGCUGCAUGGCAGAUGAACAAAAUCCUCCUGCCUUCCACAAAGACCAUGAAGGAAAGCAGGUAAGAGGGUGGGGGUCAGUCACAGAGCUACCUUUGUCAGGAUGUCCCUCCUCACACUGUACAGCAACCAGGCUUCCUAAAACUUGGUGAAGUUCUUCACUGAUCUUGCACAGCCCCGUGGGCAGAUUGGACACAAAUCCUCACAGAGAAGAAAUUCAAGCAGAGCACAGCUGUCCAAGUGGCCCAAACAUAAGCACUAAGCGGGUUGGAAUUCAGGUCCCACCACCCUCGUUCAGGGCUCAUAUCUUUUAGGUGGCAAAGAGCCAGGCACACAUAGAGAUGUGGUUUCACCAGACUGAGGUUCUGAUGGAGUUGGUGUCUGGUGCAAAACUUUAAUUCAACUGUUAGCUCUAAAAACA